AAAUUGAAGAGUUUGAUCAUGGCUCAGAUUGAACGCUGGCGGCAGGCCUAACACAUGCAAGUCGAGCGGAAACGAGUUAACUGAACCUUCGGGGAACGUUAACGGCGUCGAGCGGCGGACGGGUGAGUAAUGCCUAGGAAAUUGCCCUGGUGUGGGGGAUAACCAUUGGAAACGAUGGCUAAUACCGCAUAAUGCCUUCGGGCCAAAGAGGGGGACCUUCGGGCCUCUCGCGUCAGGAUAUGCCUAGGUGGGAUUAGCUAGUUGGUGAGGUAAGGGCUCACCAAGGCGACGAUCCCUAGCUGGUCUGAGAGGAUGAUCAGCCACACUGGAACUGAGACACGGUCCAGACUCCUACGGGAGGCAGCAGUGGGGAAUAUUGCACAAUGGGCGCAAGCCUGAUGCAGCCAUGCCGCGUGUAUGAAGAAGGCCUUCGGGUUGUAAAGUACUUUCAGCAGUGAGGAAGGUGGUGUAGUUAAUAACUGCAUCAUUGACGUUAGCUGCAGAAGAAGCACCGGCUAACUCCGUGCCAGCAGCCGCGGUAAUACGGAGGGUGCGAGCGUUAAUCGGAAUUACUGGGCGUAAAGCGCAUGCAGGUGGUUUGUUAAGUCAGAUGUGAAAGCCCGGGGCUCAACCUCGGAAUUGCAUUUGAAACUGGCAGACUAGAGUACUGUAGAGGGGGGUAGAAUUUCAGGUGUAGCGGUGAAAUGCGUAGAGAUCUGAAGGAAUACCGGUGGCGAAGGCGGCCCCCUGGACAGAUACUGACACUCAGAUGCGAAAGCGUGGGGAGCAAACAGGAUUAGAUACCCUGGUAGUCCACGCCGUAAACGAUGUCUACUUGGAGGUUGUGGCCUUGAGCCGUGGCUUUCGGAGCUAACGCGUUAAGUAGACCGCCUGGGGAGUACGGUCGCAAGAUUAAAACUCAAAUGAAUUGACGGGGGCCCGCACAAGCGGUGGAGCAUGUGGUUUAAUUCGAUGCAACGCGAAGAACCUUACCUACUCUUGACAUCCAGAGAAGCCAGUAGAGAUACAGGUGUGCCUUCGGGAACUCUGAGACAGGUGCUGCAUGGCUGUCGUCAGCUCGUGUUGUGAAAUGUUGGGUUAAGUCCCGCAACGAGCGCAACCCUUAUCCUUGUUUGCCAGCGAGUAAUGUCGGGAACUCCAGGGAGACUGCCGGUGAUAAACCGGAGGAAGGUGGGGACGACGUCAAGUCAUCAUGGCCCUUACGAGUAGGGCUACACACGUGCUACAAUGGCGCAUACAGAGGGCAGCAAGCUAGCGAUAGUGAGCGAAUCCCAAAAAGUGCGUCGUAGUCCGGAUUGGAGUCUGCAACUCGACUCCAUGAAGUCGGAAUCGCUAGUAAUCGUGGAUCAGAAUGCCACGGUGAAUACGUUCCCGGGCCUUGUACACACCGCCCGUCACACCAUGGGAGUGGGCUGCAAAAGAAGUAGGUAGUUUAACCUUCGGGAGAACGCUUACCACUUUGUGGUUCAUGACUGGGGUGAAGUCGUAACAAGGUAGCCCUAGGGGAACCUGGGGCUGGAUCACCUCCUUA
rnacentral:rRNA from 1 species